ACGCUCGACACCUACGGGAGGCUGCAGUGGGGAAUAUUGCACAAUGGGGGAAACCCUGAUGCAGCGACGCCGCGUGAGCGAAGAAGUAUCUCGGUAUGUAAAGCUCUAUCAGCAGGGAAGAAGAUGACGGUACCUGACUAAGAAGCACCGGCUAAAUACGUGCCAGCAGCUGCGGUAAUCUGAGCGGGCUGGCAAGGC
rnacentral:rRNA from 1 species